GACGAACGCUGGCGGCGUGCUUAACACAUGCAAGUCGAACGGAAAGGCCCUGCUUUUGUGGGGUGCUCGAGUGGCGAACGGUGAGUAACACGUGAGUAACCUGCCCUUGACUUUGGGAUAACUUCAGGAAACUGGGGCUAAUACCGGAUAGGAGCUCCUGCUGCAUGGUGGGGUUGGAAAGUUUCGGCGGUUGGGGAUGGACUCGCGGCUUAUCAGCUUGUUGGUGGGGUAGUGGCUUACCAAGGCUUUGACGGGUAGCCGGCCUGAGAGGGUGACCGGCCACAUUGGGACUGAGAUACGGCCCAGACUCCUACGGGAGGCAGCAGUGGGGAAUAUUGCACAAUGGGCGGAAGCCUGAUGCAGCAACGCCGCGUGCGGGAUGACGGCCUCGGUUGUAACCGCUUCGUCCUGUGACGAAGCGUGAGUGACGGUAAU
rnacentral:rRNA from 1 species